rnacentral:tRNA from 1 species
ACCUGGCUGGCUCAAUUGGAAGAGCAUGAAACUCUUGAUCUUGGGGUCAUGAGUUCAAGCCCCAUAUUGGGUG